UACGUAGGGUGCGAGCGUUGUCCGGAAUUACUGGGCGUAAAGAGCUCGUAGGUGGUUUGUCGCGUUGUUCGUGAAAAUCUCACGGCUUAACUGUGAGCGUGCGGGCGAUACGGGGCAGACUAGAGUACUGCAGGGGGAGACUGGAAUUCCUGGUGUAGCGGUGGAAUGCGCAGAUAUCAGGAGGAACACCGGUGGCGAAGGCGGGGUCUCUGGGCAGUAACUGACGCUGAGGAGCGAAAAGCGUGGGGGAGCGAACAGG
rnacentral:rRNA from 1 species